CCGAGCUCGCCUGGGACUCCGGGUGCACCGGCGGAGCCUCUCCUUUCUGUGACUCUCACAGAGAGGAGCUAAAUUGCAAUCAACUCCGCUCCUGCUUUUCGGAGGAAAGCCUUCCCUACUGUAAACGUGGCGGGUGAUGCUCGCAGCGGCGUUUCAGCACGGUCUUCCCGAGGAGGUUCAUCGCCAGGCAGGCUCUGGCGACGCCCCCAGCCCGCUCCAGCUCCCGGGCCUCCUUUGAAGUCGCAGCUGGAGCAGCCACUGCGGGAGGCGGGAAAUCCUGCCCAGCCCCUCCCCCGCCGCCAGCUUGGACCUGGCCACUGGGGCCCAGUUCCGCCACUGACCGGAACCAACAGCCAUUUGGUUCCUUUGAGCACUCGGGUGCCAAGCAUACCCUCACCCUCCGUGAGUCUCUCUUGGACCAAACAGUGCGCACUCAGCGUCCGGGAAUCAUGUUUCAGCUCCCGCAGGGACCGGUCCCGGCGGGAGGGGCAGUGCACCCGUUGUGGCUCGGGGCUCUUUCCUAGAGGCAGAACGAAGGAACCGGACAGUUUGCUCCCCACCCCUAGGCCCUAGCCCGACCGGGAAGGUUGAGUUCCCUAUCAGUGAGUCCACAGAGGACCCCAGAAUGCCAGGAGCCCUUGCUGAGGGGCGUGCCCUAUGCUCAGGGGGACAGGGAUGGCAGAUAACCAAAAAGGCUGAGCCCCAGGCGUUCCCCCGGAGCUGAGCCUGUUUUCUCCCUGCGCCCCCCAUCUCCCCCCCCCCAAAAAAAAACAGAACCCGGAGUCCGCCUAGGACAUCCUCUUCCAAUCGUGGCGCUCGAAACUGCCUCCGCCCGGUGGAUUCCUCAUCCUUGAGCCCACAGCCAAGUAAAAGCAAUUACAGUUUGGAAUCCCAGGAGACAAGCAAAUGAUUUCGCUUAUGGAAAGAACUGCCUAAAGAAGAGUUCCCUAAAGGUUAGAGAACAAGGGGGCCGCCUUGGAGGCUGAGAGACGGGCGAGCGGGGACGGAGGGCAUGUGGCUAGAGAGUGGUCCACGGAAGCCGCCACGCAUUGUCAGAGAAGAGGGGAGGAGCGACAGCGAAGACAAGCGCAGAGGACUAGCAGGCGAUCGCGGAGGCUGCCAAGUGAUGGGAGUCAGAGGAGGGGAGAAGCGCGCACCCCACGGGCAGCUGGCCGGGCGGCAGGCUCCUCCUUUUGCAGCCUUUCACCCCUGGCUUCCCCCGGCGCUUGCAGACUGCACCAAGACACACACUGCGCUGGGGGCGCUCGCGGGCAUGGCAUGGGCGGGGUGCGGCAGGAACCAAAGAGCCCUGUGCCCCACACCGCGCAGGGCGUGCUGCACACCUGGCACCCGGGACUCACCAUCUGUUCAGAGCUGCCUCCUCGGCCCAGAGGUGUGGCCUGCGGACAGAUAAGAGUACCUCAUGGCAGCACGACUCCACAUCAACUGCCACUUCAACUGCCAAUCAGAGUUAUCUCCCGUAGUUGUGCUGUUUUUAAAUUCAGUCUGUAAACGCUGUUCCAAAUAAUAGCAGCAGUUAAGGUGGACUGGAAGACUGACAUCUGGGUGCUGAGAUCUCAGACACAUGAAGAGAGGUGGCAGCUGUUGACAGCAACAAGAAGGGGAAAGUGUGACCCAGCCGGGUGGCCUGAGUUCCAACGGAAAGGGAAUUUUCACCAGAGGAAAGAGACUUCACAUCUGGAAGUACCAAAAUGGAGUGGGUGGUGAGUGUAGAGUUUGAGCUGAGAGCUGACUGGAAAGGGAUUUCUGGCAGAGGACUUAGACAACCACGGAACGACUUUUGGAAGAAGAAGGUGCUCAUGUUGCCUAACACUGCCGUCUGAAAGGUUUUUGUUUUUUAAACAAUAAAUAACUUUGGGGGAAGGUAUUUUUAUUGUAAAGAUAUCUUCUCAUUUUAAAUUUGUUAACAAAUUCCCGCACUUGGGAUAUAGUGUCUCUCUCUGAGUUUGAGGCCACUCUGGUCUACAGAGUUAGUUCUAGGCCAGUCAGGACUAUAUAGUGAGCCCCCCUCCCUCUCUAUCUCUCUCUUUCUCUCUUUCUGUCUUCCUCCCUCCCUCUCCCUCUCUCUCUCUCUCUCUUACUCCUCCCCACAAAACACACACACAAAAUUGAUAAUGAAAAUACACUAUAAUUUAAUAAACUUGGUUUUCAUUUGGCAUGAUGAAAAGAUUCUGGUAUCUGAUGUAUGGCAAUUGCACAACAUUGUGAGUGUUAUAAAGGACAUCAAAUUGCAGUCUGAAAAGUGGUCAAAGUGAGGCUUCCUCUGCUCGGCUUGCUGUGAUAAAUGCAUAACUGAGUGGUUUAGAAAUGAUGGAAAUGUGGGGCUGGGACGAUGGCCGAGUUGGUAAAGCGCUUGCCACACAAGCAUUCCCAGAACACACGGGGAAAAAGCCUUGGCAAAGCCAGGCAUGCUUGUUAUCUCAGUGCCAGUGAGUUGGAGACAGGCAGAUCACAGAGCAUAGUGACUAGGCUACCUAGCCUACUUGCUGAGUUUCAGGCCAGUUAGAGACCCUGUCUGUAAACAAAAAAAGAAAACCAAACAACAACAACCACAACAAAAAAAGGAGGAUAGUGGCCAAAGUUGAUCCUUGGCUUCAGCAUACACAAAUACGUGUUCAUGUUCACCCAAAUACAAAACACGUAUGCACACACAAACACAAUCACCCCAAGUCAAUGAAACAACCAACAAAAACAAUAGACAUGUACUUCACACUGUUCUGAAGGCUGGCAAGGCCAGGUUUUUGACACUCUAGUAGAGAUUCAGUGUCUGUUGAGAAUUAAUUUCCUACCUUUUUGUGUGUCUCUAUGUGACACAAGGUUCA
ensembl:lncRNA